AGUGAACGCUGGCGGUAGGCCUAACACAUGCAAGUCGAACGGCAGCACAGUAAGAGCUUGCUCUUACGGGUGGCGAGUGGCGGACGGGUGAGGAAUACAUCGGAAUCUACUUUUUCGUGGGGGAUAACGUAGGGAAACUUACGCUAAUACCGCAUACGACCUACGGGUGAAAGCAGGGGAUCUUCGGACCUUGCGCGAUUGAAUGAGCCGAUGUCGGAUUAGCUAGUUGGCGGGGUAAAGGCCCACCAAGGCGACGAUCCGUAGCUGGUCUGAGAGGAUGAUCGGCCACACUGGAACUGAGACACGGUCCAGACUCCUACGGGAGGCAGCAGUGGGGAAUAUUAGACAAUGGGCGCAAGCCUGAUCCAGCCAUACCGCGUGGGUGAAGAAGGCCUUCGGGUUGUAAAGCCCUUUUGUUGGGAAAGAAAAGCAGCAGGUUAAUACCCCGCUGUUCUGACGGUACCCAAAGAAUAAGCACCGGCUAACUUCGUG
rnacentral:rRNA from 1 species